UACGGGGGGGGCAAGCGUUGUUCGGAAUUACUGGGCGUAAAGGGUCUGUAGGUGGCCAACUAAGUCAGACGUGAAAUCCCUCGGCUUAACCGGGGAACUGCAUCUGAUACUGGAUGGCUUGAGUUUGGGAGAGGGAUGCGGAAUUCCAGGUGUAGCGGCGAAAUGCGUAGAUAUCUGGAGGAACACCGGUGGCGAAGGCGGCAUCCUGGACCAACACUGACACUGAGGAGCGAAAGCCAGGGGAGCAAACGGG
rnacentral:rRNA from 1 species